AUAUUGGUCAAUGGACGCAAGUCUGAACCAGCCAUGCCGCGUGGAGGAUGAAGGUCCUCUGGAUUGUAAACUUCUUUUAUCUGGGACGAAACACUUCUUUUCUAAGAGGCCUGACGGUACCAGAUGAAUAAGCACCGGCUAACUCCGUGCCAGCAGCCGCGGUAAUACGGAGGGUGCAAGCGUUAUCCGGAUUCACUGGGUUUAAAGGGUGCGUAGGUGGGUAUGUAAGUCAGAGGUGAAAUCCCCGAGCUUAACUUGGGAACUGCCUUUGAUACUAUAUAUCUUGAAUGCCGUAGAGGUAAGCGGAAUAUGUCAUGUAGCGGUGAAAUGCUUAGAUAUGACAUGGAACACCAAUUGCGAAGGCAGCUUACUAUGCGGUUAUUGACACUGAGGCACGAAAGCGUGGGUAGCAAACA
rnacentral:rRNA from 1 species